GGUUUGAGGGUCAUGCGCAAGUGCUUGACCUGCAUACAGAACUUGUCCUCUCAAUCUGCUGAUAGAAGGAGCAGCAGCAAGAGUAAUCAUUGCAUGGGUCGUGGGCUCAGCUUUGUCCAGCUUAGAGAGAUAGGAGAGCAAUUGUAUAUGAGCGAAUUACCCUCAUGCCAUGGUUGACGGAGUGCCUCCUUAUGAAGUUUUCCAGGGACAAAGCGUGGGACUCGUCACGCAGAAAGGCCUCGAGUCUGUCAGUAGCGGAAGCACACUUCCAGAGUUCCUUGCAGGUGCUGGUUGCGUUGCAAAGGUCCUGAUGAUCCAGAUGACGGAAUAUUUUCCUUGUCACAUCCAGGGGCAGUAGGCUGAAGAUGCUCUUGCGCGGGCCCAUUCUAGUGCCUGAUCACCAUGUUAUGGUUAGCACUUUGUGAAAAAAGCAGUGCCGUAAAUUUUGCUACAAUGGCGGACGAUGGCAUCAAUCAAUCGAAGAGUGGAUAACGAUAUAUUUGUUAUUGGGCUUCAGCAUUACCCACUUGCUCUCGAAUCGGUUUCAGUCUCAAGUUGCCAAAGGGGAUCUCCGUAAGCUAGGUCCAACAUGGACACCAAUUCUUGCUCUUCACUCAUGCUGCCACACGUCAGAUAGUCCCCCAGUGAUCAAAUGCUCGGCCUUAGAUAUACUACGUGGAGCCACA
rnacentral:lncRNA from 1 species